CCCUUGAGUUUGAUCCUGGCUCAGAUUGAACGCUGGCGGAAUGCUUUACACAUGCAAGUCGAACGAUGAACCUUAGCUUGCUAGGGGGAUUAGUGGCGGACGGGUGAGUAAUAUAUCGGAACGUGUCCAUUAAUGGGGGAUAACUAACCGAAAGGUUGGCUAAUACCGCAUACGCCCUGAGGGGGAAAGCUGGGGAUCUUCGGACCUGGCGUUAAUGGAGCGGCCGAUACCUGAUUAGCUAGUUGGUAGGGUAAUGGCCUACCAAGGCAACGAUCAGUAGCUGGUCUGAGAGGACGACCAGCCACACUGGGACUGAGACACGGCCCAGACUCCUACGGGAGGCAGCAGUGGGGAAUUUUGGACAAUGGGGGAAACCCUGAUCCAGCCAUUCCGCGUGAGUGAAGAAGGCCUUCGGGUUGUAAAGCUCUUUCGCAAGGGAAGAAAAGAUAUAGGUGAAUAGCUUAUGUUGAUGACGGUACCUUGACAAGAAGCACCGGCUAACUACGUGCCAGCAGCCGCGGUAAUACGUAGGGUGCAAGCGUUAAUCGGAAUUACUGGGCGUAAAGCGUGCGCAGGCUGUUUUGUAAGUCAGAUGUGAAAUCCCCGAGCUCAACUUGGGAACUGCGUUUGAAACUACAAGACUAGAAUAGGUCAGAGGGGGGUAGAAUUCCACGUGUAGCAGUGAAAUGCGUAGAGAUGUGGAGG
rnacentral:rRNA from 1 species